rnacentral:tRNA from 1 species
GGCGGCAUAGCCAAGUGGUAAGGCCGUGGUCUGCAAAACCGCUAUCCCCAGUUCGAAUCUGGGUGCCGCCUCCA